CCUCUCAUGGCGUAGUGGUUAACGCGCCCCAACUAGAGAUCGGGGAGUCGUGACUUCGAUUCUCACUGAGAAGA
rnacentral:tRNA from 1 species